UCACGAAAGUCGGCUGCACCUGAAAUUGCUGUGCUAACCCGCAAGGGAGGCAGGCACUUACGGUGUGGUCGAUGAUUGGGGUG
rnacentral:rRNA from 1 species